rnacentral:rRNA from 1 species
ACGAACGCUGGCGGCAUGCCUAACACAUGCAAGUCGAACGAUUGCCUUCGGGUGAUAGUGGCGCACGGGUGCGUAACGCGUGGGAAUCUGCCCUUAGGUUCGGAAUAACAGCUGGAAACGGCUGCUAAUACCGGAUGAUAUCGCGAGAUCAAAGAUUUAUCGCCUGAGGAUGAGCCCGCGUUGGAUUAGGUAGUUGGUGGGGUAAAGGCCUACCAAGCCGACGAUCCAUAGCUGGUCUGAGAGGAUGAUCAGCCACACUGGGACUGAGACACGGUCCAGACUCCUACGGGAGGCAGCAGUGGGGAAUAUUGGACAAUGGGCGCAAGCCUGAUCCAGCAAUGCCGCGUGAGUGAUGAAGGCCCUAGGGUUGUAAAGCUCUUUUACCCGGGAAGAUAAUGACUGUACCGGGAGAAUAAGCCCCGGCUAACUCCGUG